rnacentral:rRNA from 1 species
UACGUAGGGUGCAAGCGUUAAUCGGAAUACUGGGCGUAAAGCGUGCGCAGGCGGUGAUGUAAGACAGUUGUGAAAUCCCCGGGCUCAACCUGGGAAUGGCAUUUGGGACUGCAAGGCUGGAGUGCGGCAGAGGAGACUGGAAUUCCUGGUGUAGCAGUGAAAUGCGUAGAUAUCAGGAGGAAUACCGAUGGCGAAGGCAGGUCUCUGGGCUGACACUGACGCUCAUGCACGAAAAGCGUGGGGAGCAAACAGG